rnacentral:rRNA from 1 species
AAGAGAGAAUGUUGGCAUGAGUAGCGAAAGGGGAGUGAGAAUCUCCCCCAUCGAAAGCCUAAGGCUUCCUGAGGAAGGCUCGUCCACUCAGGGUAAGUCGGGACCUAAGCCGAGGCCAAAGGGCGUAGGCGAUGGACAACUGGUUGAAAUUCCAGUACCACCUUUAAGCGUUUGAGAGAAGGGGUGACACAGAAGGGUAAGCUAUCGCACUGAUGGAAUAGUGCGUCUAAGUAAGUAGGGAGGUAACCGAGGCAAAUCCCGGAUACCAAUCCUGAGAUACGAAUGGGAGCGAAAAUAAGUAGUGAAGUAGCUGAGCCCAUGCUGUCAAGAAAAGCCUCUAUCGAGCAAGAAGGUGCCCGUACCGCAAACCGACACAGGUAGGCAAGGAGAGAAUCCAAAGAUGAGCGGAAGAACUAUUGUUAAGGAACUAGGCAAAAUGACCCCGUAACUUCGGGAGAAGGGGUGCCGUAGGGAGUGAAGAUUGAACAAUCGGAGCACAAUACGGCCACAGAAAACAGGCCCAAGCGACUGUUUAGCAAAAACACAGGUCUCUGCUAAAUCGAAAGAUGAAGUAUAGGGGCUGACACCUGCCCGGUGCUGGAAGGUUAAGGGGAGAAGUUACCCCGCACUCAAUUCUGUAUAUAAUUUAAGAAACAAUUUUAAAAAGAAUGAGAUAGAUUGUAUAUGGAAUUGAGUGCGGGGGACGCUUUGAACUUAAGCCCCAGUAAACGGCGGCCGUAACUAUAACGGUCCUAAGGUAGCGAAAUUCCUUGUCGGGUAAGUUCCGACCCGCACGAAAGGUGUAACGAUUUGGGCACUGUCUCAACAAUAGAUCCGGUGAAAUUGUAGUACUCGUGAAGAUGCGAGUUACCCGCGGCAGGACGGAAAGACCCCAUGGAGCUUUACUGCAGGCUGACAUUGGAAUUCGGUAGCAAUUGUACAGAAUAGGUGGGAGACUGAGAAGCCAGUACGCCAGUAUUGGUGGAGUCGCCUUUGGGAUACCACUCUAUUGUUACUGAAUUUCUAACAUGAUACCGUGAUCCGGUAUAUGGACACUGUCAGUUGGGCAGUUUGACUGGGGCGGUCGCCUCCGAAAGAGUAACGGAGGCGCUCAAAGGUUCCCUCAGCACGGUCGGAAAUCGUGCGAAGAGUGUAAAGGCAAAAGGAAGCUUGAUUGCAAGACAUACAGGUCGAGCAAGGACGAAAGUCGGACUUAGUGAUCCGGUGGUACCGCAUGGAAGGGCCAUCGCUCAACGGAUAAAAGCUACCCUGGGGAUAACAGGCUUAUCUCCCCCAAGAGUCCACAUCGACGGGGAGGUUUGGCACCUCGAUGUCGGCUCGUCUCAUCCUGGGGCUGAAGCAGGUCCCAAGGGUUGGGCUGUUCGCCCAUUAAAGAGGCACGCGAGCUGGGUUCAGAACGUCGUGAGACAGUUCGGUCCCUAUCCGCCGUGGGCGCAGGAAAUUUGAAGGGAGCUGUUCCUAGUACGAGAGGACCGGAAUGGACAGACCGCCGGUGAAUCAGUUGUCACGCCAGUGGCAUGGCUGAGUAGCUGAGUCUGGAAUAGAUAAGCGCUGAAAGCAUCUAAGCGCGAAACGUACCCUAAGAUAAGAUUUCCCAUCACAUAAGUGAGUAAGACCCCUGAUAUGUUAACAGGUUGAUAGGUCGCAUGUGUAAGUGCAGCAAUGCAUUCAGCUGAGCGAUACUAAUAGGUCGAGGUCUUGACCU